rnacentral:lncRNA from 1 species
AAAAAGCAAAAAAUAUAGGGGUCAAUGUGCUUGUUUUCGAGAUAUUAGCCAUUGGAAUUUGGCGGGAAAAUGUUCUCUUUUGAUUUUUCAUAGCUUUAUCAUUGACCAGUUAAAAGUUCUCAAAAAACUAUUACAAAAUAAAUAAAAUUUUGUAAGACUUUUACAAAUGACUUAUGAUUAUACAUGUAUAAGAUUUAUAUGGGGGUCCAUGGGCAAAAUUUUUUAAGGCAUUCAAAUGGAUAAAACCAGAGGAUUUUGAAAAUCUGACAAAAAUUCCAAAACAUCACAAGCAAACAACCUUAAUUUGAAGUUUGCAUUGAUACGGAUUCAAUGAGGUCGAAUUAUUCACUUGCAAGUGAAUAACUCAUAAUCAAUGUUUUUUUAGCUUAUUUUGAC